rnacentral:rRNA from 1 species
CCCGCUGAACUUAAGCAUAUCAAUAAGCGGAGGAAAAGAAACUAACAAGGAUUCCCCUAGUAACUGCGAGUGAAGCGGGAAAAGCUCAAAUUUAAAAUCUGGUGGCCUUUGGCCAUCCGAGUUGUAAUUUAGAGAAGCGUCUUCCGCGCUGGACUGUGCACAAGUCUCCUGGAACGGAGCGUCAUAGAGGGUGAGAAUCCCGUCUUUGGCAUGGACAUCCCAGGGCUUUUGUGAUGCGCUCUCGAAGAGUCGAGUUGUUUGGGAAUGCAGCUCAAAAUGGGUGGUGAACUCCAUCUAAAGCUAAAUAUUGGCGAGAGACCGAUAGCGAACAAGUACCGUGAGGGAAAGAUGAAAAGCACUUUGGAAAGAGAGUGAAACAGUACGUGAAAUUGUUGAAAGGGAAACGCUUGAAGUCAGUCGCGUCGACCGAGACUCAGCCUUGCCUUGGCUUGGUGUACUUCUCGGCUGACGGGUCAGCAUCAAUUUUGCCCCUUGGAUAAUGGCGAGGGAAAUGUGACACCUUUACGGUGUGUUAUAGUCUCUUGUCGCAUGCAAGGGUUGGGAUUGAGGAACUCAGCACGCGCCUUUGGGUGUCGGGGUUUUUGCCCACGAUACGUGCUUAGGAUGUUGGCGUAAUGGCUUUAAACGACCCGUCUUGAAACACGG